rnacentral:rRNA from 1 species
GGAGCCAAUCAAAUGCUAUUAGGUGGAUGACUCGGUUCUAGAGCUGAUGAAGGAUGUGACUAGCUGCAUUAAGCUUUGGCGAGAUGCAUGUAAUCCUUGAACCAAAGAUAUCCGAAUGGGACUUCCCUUUAAAUCCGAAAGGAUGGGGAACUUGGGGGACUGAAACAUCUUAGUACCCAAAGGAAAAGAAAUCAAUCGAGAUGCUGUGAGUAAGAGCGACCGAAAACAGCACAAGACAAACCGAAUCUUCCUUAGAAAUAAGGAAGGGAUGUGGUGUUGAAGGACUGCCUUUUAUCCGGCUCGGAUGAUUCAAACUCUUCUGGAAAGUUGGGCCGAAGAGGGUGAAAGCCCCGUAGAAGAAAUCUGAGUGGAUUGUGGCAGGAUCCUGAGUACUGUUCGCUGGAAACCGAACAGGAAGCUGGGAGGCAUCAACUUCCAAUCUUAAAUACUCCUAGAGACCGAUAGAGAAUAAGUACCGUGAGGGAAAGUUGAAAAGAACCCUUAACAGGAACUGAAAAGACCCUGAAACCUAAUAGCUAUAGUGGGGUGCGGCUUUACGGAGUUGCACCGUGCGUUUUGAAUAACGUGCCAGGGAGUGUAUCUGAGUGGCGAGAGUAAUCUGAAAAGGAGGACUCAUAGGGAAACCAAUGACCCGCAGCUUGCAAGGGGUAAGGUAUGAAAGUGCCUUGAGUCACUUGGGUACGACCCGAAUCCGAGCGAUCUACUCCAGGGCAGGGUGAAGUCAGGGUAAAACCUGGUGGAGGCCCGAAGAGGUUCUACGGGCAAGUGUUCUUCUGACCUUGGAAUAGGGGUGAAAAGCCAAUCGAGCUCGGUGAUAGCUGGUUCCAGCCGAAGUUGGCCGUAGUCAAGUCUGAAGCGAGAGCGCCUAAGUGGUAAAGAGACGGAUUUUAGGUAUCAGGUGUCGAAAGGCAUCGGUCUUUUGUCCAACUCAGAAUGCUUAGGCCUUGUAGACCUUUGGAUACGGGGUGCCGGGGUAAGCUUGGUAUCCGAGAGGGGAACAACCCAGACUUUCGUUAAGGUCCCAAAAUAGUGACUAAGUGUGAAAGGGUGAAGAGUGUCUGCAACCUCAGACAGCGAGGAGGUUGGCUUAGAAGCAGCCAUCCUUUAAAAAGUGCGUAAUAGCUUACUCGUCAAGGUUGUAGGCCUCGAAGAUGGACGGGGCUAAGUCAUUUACCGAUACGGAAGACAUCAUAUGAUUGUGAUAGGCUGGCGUUUUGAUAGGGCAGAAGCACGCUCGAGAGAGUGUGUAGACCUUUCAAAAAUGAAAAUCCUGGCGGAAGUAGGAGCAGAGAAGAGUGAGACACUCUUCCACCGAAAGGGCAAGGGUUCCUUGGCAAUGUCAAUCAGCCAAGGGUUAGUUGAUCCUAACCACGUUCAGAAAUUGAACAAAGGGAAAGGGAAACAGGUUAAUAUUCCUGUACUAUUCGAGUAUGCGCGGCAACGCAAGUCUUGUUUCUGACGCUUCGGGAGAGGUCGGCAUAUCCAGUGAGGUAUGUUAACCUGGACAAAUGAAGGGAGUAUUGUAAUGAUGAGAACUUCAUUAAAACAGGGAAUAGUAUUCCGCAAGGAGUAUCCGGCUCGUAUCUGGAGCUCAUAAAAAAGGAACAGGAAAAGAUCUCGGAUAUUCAUACCCAGAACCAGCACUGGUGCCCCUAGGUGAGAAGCCUAAGGUGUGUAGGUAUAAUCCAAUUAAGGGAACUCGGCAAAUUAGUCCCGUGACUUCGGCAUAAGGGAUCCCUGCGGUUGUCAACGCGAUCGCAGGGCGCAGUAACAGAGAUGGUCCGACUGUUUAACAAAAACCAAAUUAACUGCUAGCCUGUAAAGGUGCGUACAGUUGAUGACGCCUGCCCAGUGCCAGUACUUGAAACCCCAAUUCAAUGGGGCUAAGAGCUGGUAAACGGCGGGGGUAACUAUAACUCUCUUAAGGUAGCGUAAUACCUUGCCGAUUGAAUGUCGGCUCGCAUGAAUGGCGUAACGAGAUCGUCGCUGUCCCUAGUUGGAAGCCUCCGAACACUCUUUCCUGGUGCAAAGGCCAGGGAUCUCCAGUGGGAAGUGAAGACCCCGUGAAACUUUACUGUAGCUUGCUGCUGUUAUGUGGGCUUCGUUAUAUAGCGUAAGUAGGAGUCGUUAAAGCAAAGGCGCAAGCUUUUGUGUAGACGCCAAUGUAACACUACUUUUCGGAGCCUACGUAACUCAUUGGGAAACCAAGACACCAGCAGGUGGACAGUUUGGCUGGGGUGGCACCCUGCUGAAAAGAUAUCAGCAGGGCCCUAAGGUUGGCUCAAGAGGUUCAGAAAUCCUCUGUAGAGUGUAAGGGCAUAAGCCAGCCUGAUUGGACUUCUAUCAAGAUGAACUCCAAACGCGAAAGCGUGGCCUAGCGAACUCCCGUACCUCCUUGAUGGGGGUCGGGAAUGACCGAAAAGUUACUCCGGGGAUAACAGAGUCGUCUCGCCCGAGAGUUCAUAUCGACGGCGAGGCUUGCUACAUCGAUGUCGGCUCUUCCUAUCCUGCGCGUGCAGAAUAUUUCGAAGGAACUGAGAAAUGCUCAGAAAUCUUCGAUUUCUGUUGGCGUGCAAGGGUGGGGGUGUUCACCCGUUAAAAGGGAUCGUGAGCUGGGUUCAGAACGCUGCGAGGCAGUUUGUUUAAUAUCUACUGGAGAUGUUGGUGUCUGAAGGGAAGGAAGCCAUAGUACGAGAGGAACUGGCUUUCGGAGCCUCUGGUUUACCUGUUAUCUUCCAAGGUACGCAGGGCAGCUACGCUCUAAGGGAUAAGUGCUGAAAGCAUCUAAGCACGAAGCCCUCCUUGAAAAGAGACACCGCAGGACCCUCCUAGAAGAGGAGCUUGAUGGGAUUGGUGUGUACGCACGAAGCUUCGGCGACGUGUUCAGCAUGCAAUUUCCAAACGUCCGUAAUUGGUUUCC